rnacentral:misc_RNA from 1 species
GAUGAAGAACGUAGCGAAAUGCGAUAAGUAGUGUGAAUUGCAGAAUUCAGUGAAUCAUCGAAUCUUUGAACGCACAUUGCGCCCCUUGGUAUCCCGAGGGGCAUGCCUGUUCGAGCGUCAUUUCACCACUCAAGCCUGGCUUGGUGUUGGGCGACGUCCUCUUUGGGGACGCGCCUCGAAACGCUCGGCGGCGUGGCACCGGCUUUAAGCGUAGCGGAAUCUUUCGCUUUGGAAGUCGGGGCCCCGUCUGCCGGAAGACCUGCUCGCAAGGUUGACCUCGGAUCAGGCAGGGAUACCCGCUGAACUUAAGCAUAUCAAUAAGCGGAGGA